UUUAGAGGGAAUGAGAAGAUGGUAUUCAUAGCAAAAAUAGCUUACCUUUUUUAUAAUUGAAAACCCACCUUCUUGCAUGAAGAAGCUUGCAUUCAAGGUAGAUUGUGGGUGAUGAUUUAAGAAGGAAUUUAAGAUGGGGAAUCUGUAACUGGUAGAGAUUGAUAGUAAGAAGGUGAAACAUCUCUCUCAGAACUCUUGUUUUGUCUCAUUCUCGAAUAGCGGAGGCGAAGCAACAAAAAAAAACCCUAAUAGAAAAAUGACGCUAGAAGCCGCGUUUACAAUUGGAGAAACUCAUUGCUGGGCUGGCUGAAUCGAACAAACAAAAGGUCCAUAUCAAAUAAAAAACCCACAUAACAAAGCGUUAAAUGAAACGUUGUGUUUCGUAUAGGCUUGACACGUGCCGAGCCCACAUGACUCAACUUUCUGACACGUCCGCCUACGUGGCGCGCUCAGGAGAGAGAUAACAUCUCUUUAUUAUACAAGAUUUAUGACGUAAAAUUUUAUUUUUUAAUUUUACACAUUAACUGAAUCCAAUAAACAUAGAAAUAUUAUUUUUUAUAAUUGUACACAUUUAUUUGAAUACAAUAAACAUAGAUCUCUUGUUUAUAUCCAGAGAAUUUUUUUCAUUUUUAAUACUUUUGUUCUUAUGUUUACUGUCUAUUUGUUAUAUCUAGUUAUAUUUUGUUUUCAUACUUUUUUAAAAUCUUUAUUUUGAUUAGUAUUAAUUUUCAUCAGCCUCUUGUUAAUUUCCGUUGGGUUGAGUUUAAUGAUAAAAAUGACUUAUAUUUUAUUUUUGUUAAUUUUGGUUUGAUUUAACGUGAAAAAAACUAAUUCCUAAUUUAACUAUCUUAUUUUAUUCUAUAAAUAUCCCCUAUUUGCCGGUUUACAAAAAAUGAAUAUCCCCUAUUUAGUUUUAAGAUUUAUGUUUUUCAAUAGGAGUUUUCAAAUUUAAUCUAUAACAAUAAAAUUACAUUUUCUCUCUCCACAUGUCGCCACAUCAGCAGGGAGAAGUGGGCUUUUUUAGACACGUGGCGGCUCCUGAUUCUUUUUUGACAAAAGUUGUAUGGGUUUGCAUACAUUUAGGUUUGUUAUUUGACAGCUUGGGUUAGCUUAGUGAAAUCAGAUACAAACCCAAUAACAUAUCUCCCUAGACAAAGUCUAUUGUCGAUCGACAUUGCUAAUAUGAAGCGAUGUCGUAAUUGUUUGUAGUUUGCAUUCAAUAAUCAUCAUUUACAAUGGCUGUAACAUCACCGACCCACGUCUCCCACUAUCCCUCAUUCAAUGGACCAUUACUUUCUCAGAGGCUCCUAAUCUACACCGUUCUCGAUUCUGUCAGAUUCAUCAGUCUAUCCUUCUGAGUCAAUAUAAUCCUUAGAAAACCUCACACCAAUCAUGGCUGUGUCAUCGAUUCUGAUCUAUGAAUCUACCAGGUGACGUUCCAUGUUCAUUCAGAAAUCUUCUGUUUGAAAUUAAGUUCAGUGUUGAAAGUGGUGAGCACCUUAGGGUUAGGGAUUGUAUUGGGAUAUGUGAUUACUCAAUAAUGAUCAUGUCUUGCAGAUUUGUUCUCUUCUUUCUUCUUCUUUGGUUGGUUGAGGUUCUGUUUUGUGGGAUGCAGAUUUAGUUGUGCCGAAUACGGGAGAUGAUAAGAAGAUAUCCCUGUGGCGGAUAGAUGUGAAUAUUUUAGCAGUUCUGGUUGCUAUGAAGGACAAUGGUGAUAAAGAGUGUAAGGAAACUGUUGUCACUCGGAUCCUUCGUUUUUGGGAAGCAAGGAUUGAAGAAUCCUAGAGAGCUUGUGGGGGUUGACAUGGUUAUGGUAAAUGAAAAGGUAUUUGUUCUCAACUGAGCCUAAGAUAUCUUUAAGUAUAUCAUAAGUGUUAUGAAUAUUGUGGUGAUGUCCAUAUAUCAAGUUCUAGAUAUACUUGUUCUCCACUUCCGGUUAGACUUUGUCUCCAAGCUAUUGUAAUCCUAUAUAAAGGUCUAUUACUCAAUGUAUAAAACACAUCAAUUCUUCUCUUCUCUUCUCUUUUUCACUUAUAACACGUUAUCAGCACGAAACUCUAGCAGUCGUAAAAAACCCUAAUCUGAGUAUAUUUAAUUUUCGAAUCUAUUACCGUCGAAAGUCGUUCGCUAAGUCUAUGUCGUCGAGAACGAGAUAAGUAUUUACAUGUUAAUGCUUUAUGAUUUUGAGUUCAUCAUGAUUGUUUUCUUUAUAAGACAUCAUGUUUAUUUCAAUAUAUGUUUGUUGAUUUCUCGCGUAGUGUUUUAAAAUAGAUGGGUAUCGCAUGAAUCACUGAUUAAUAUUCGCUAUUUUAUUACUAUGGUUUAAUGAACGUUCAGUAACCUGUUUUCAUUGAUUUUAUAGUAGCUCAUGCAUAUAAAGUUCAUGCCAAGUAUGACCUAUAUUUUAUUAAUCAGAAAUAGUUAAAUUAUUGGUAUGGUUGUUUGAUGAUUCAUUAGCUAAUAAAAUUUAAUACUUAGGAUAAAAUUCAAGCUCAUGUUUACAUAUACCUUGACGUUUGACUACAGAAAUAUGUGCUUAAUCAUUUAGCAACGAUUAUUAUGUUAUUAGAGAAUAUUUUAUGAGUUAAUUAUAGCAUACGAUAUAACAAAACAUGUUUUAUUUUUCUAUCGUUUGAUUAUAGAGACAAGUGUCAUUGAAUAGUUCAAUUCAUUUGUGUCAAUAUUAUGCACGCUAAAUAUUUUUUGGUUUGAGAGAUCAUUGGUUUAGAGAAUUAUCAGACUUGUUUGACAAUUGCAAGAAUAUGGUUGGUAGGCGUGAGAAAUCAUUAGUCUAAAUUAUGGUUAUUCAACUCAGAUGUGAGUACAAGAUCUAUUUGUUGUUUAUGUAUUACUCAUCAAUUUUAAACUGUUGAGAUGACCUAGUUAGAGAUAUAUGUUUGAUAUAUAAUCGUUUUGAACUGUUUACUAACAUAUGGCAAUAUUUAUAUGAGCAAAUUUAAAGUGUUUCAGGAUUAACUACUUGCUAUAUAUAUAUAUAAAAAAAAAAAUUUGUUUCAGAACACUGAUCUUCGCUACACUCUUCAUCGAGAUAAGUACUAUCUAUCUAUAAUGUGUAUCAUUGAUUCAUGUGAUAGUUAAUUGAUUGAUUGGUUAUAACCUUAUUAUGGCAUGAUAGUAAAGAGUUUAUGAAUCUGAUAAUGUUCAUUAGACUGUUAUUUGAUUUUGGCUUUAUAUGUUUAUGAUAUAUUUUAGUUUAUACAUAAUCAUAUAUGAUUAAAAUAGUUCGUAUCCUUACCAUCAUUUAUAUGAGAGUAUUAAGAUUAAGUUAAGUCUUGACUGUAAAAUAUUUACAAGUUCUUUAGAACAAUCCAAAACGGUAAAAUCACUAGAAUGUGAUUACCUAAAGUUCAUUACGAACUUUUAUAUCUAAAGAUUGUAAGACCUGAAGUCUGUAAAUAAAUCUUAACUAUGAUGAGAGUUAAUGGAAAAAGGUAUGAUUACAUAUAUGUAAUUAUCUAAAGCUCAUUAUGCAUUUGGCAUCUAAAGAUUAGACGACCUGAAGUGUGUAAGUAAAUCCCAACUAUGUUGGCUGUUAAGUUUAAAUGCAAAUUUUUACUGAUGCAUAUAUAUAUUGAAAAAUAUUAUUUUCACACAAGUAAUGUUGUCCAGCAGACACAUAAUUGAAAAAAAAGAUUAAAGAAGUUUAUACUUGUAUAUUGUCUUCUUAAGACUCAGAAAAUAGUGAGCUAUUGAAAUAAGAUGAUAAAUCACGUCUAGUUGAUUAUGAUCGCUCUCUUAAAGAGAAUAGGACAUUUAUUUUGUGGAAAGAAAAUCCACACAAAUAGUACUGUUCAAAAAAAAAAGAACAUAAAAGUGGUUAUAGACAUGAAUGUGGAUAUAAAUAAGGUCAAGAUCCAAAGAGUUUCUUUUUAGAACUCAUACUCUCAAUUGAAGUUAGAAAAAAUAAAGAUGGUAAUAAAGAAGAGAUAUGAUUCGAAAAUUAUUGUGAGUACAAUAAAAGGUAGUAAAAUCUUAUAGAAUGUUUAACAAGAGGAUAUAUAUGAAUGCUCCAGAAGAGUAGAUAAUAUUACUGCUCAUAAGAAUGCUAUUUAAAAUCCUUAUUCCAUUAUAUUCUUAUAAGUCUCAAAAGUUGGAAGGAUAUGAGAAAGAAUACAUGACCCAUGUAGGUAUGUUGUUGAUUCAAAAAAUGAGAUUCAUUCGAGAUUAAUAAACCUAUAGUAUUAUCAUCUCGAGGGGAAGACUUCAAGAAUCUCACAUUUUAUGAUAAGUGAAACAUCCAGAAGAUUAUGUUUGCACUAAAACUAAGAUUGAUGAAUCAUUCUCAAAAUAAAUCUCUGGGAUUUUGAGACACGUAUGUUGAGACAAUAAGCAAAAUAAAUGCUAUUCACAUUUCAGAUAAGAAAUAUUUCUCAAGGCAAUAUAAGUAUUUUAGAGAAAGUAUCUAUAGCCUCUUAUAUAUUGUACUACACAAAAAUUAGUGUAAUGGAGAUAAACGUAUAGUAAACCAGAAGUUUACAAAAUAUUUGGCAUGAACCAGUUAGACCAUUUUUGUUCAGUAAUGAUGCAAAAAGAUACAUAGAGAUUUAUGUGAAUAUUCAUUAAAGAACCAGAAGAUUCUUGCUAAUGAUUUCACAUAUAUUGUUUGCUCAUAAGAUAAAAUGGUAAUACGGUUUUCACCAGCCAAAUGAAGUUAUUGGCAUGAUUAAAUAAGAUGUUGGUGAACUGAUCACCCACUAUGCAUCUUUAUAAUAUUGGUGAAAUCACGUCUUAAAGUCUUUGGCGACUAUAAAAAAUUUACUGGGAUAAGUAUUAAACAUUUUGAGCAACAGUAAUUUGCAUCAUGCCAACAAGUAAUCACUAGUUCUCCCCGUAAUUGGUAUUGGGUCAUAAACCAACAAUUUUCCAUCUAAGAAUGUUGGAUGUGCAAUAUACAUUCUAGUUGCUCCACAUAGAGCAUAAUUAAGAUGUGUUAUCAAAUGAGGUUGGGAAUAUAUGUUGGAUAUGAAUCUCCAUUGAUACUUAAGAAUCUUGAGCCAUCCCUGAAGGAUAUAAGUAAAGCUCUAUAUGAAUGCUAAAAGUGAGUUAGUAUUUCCAACAAAAAAAGAGAGAAAAUAAACAGCUUGAAAAGAAAAUAAGUUGAUAUAAAUUAUCAUUGAACUUCGGACUAAAGAUAAUGUGAAAUAGAAGUUAAAAAGAUAAUUCAAUUAUGGCUUAGUAAAGCAGUUACUAGACACAUUUACUGACCCAUAUAAAUAGAGUGACCAAGUCACAAGACAAGCUGUAAAUGCUUCAGUAAGAAUAUAUGUUCUAUAAAAACAAUAUCAAACUGCUAGUCACGCAUGCAGCGUGGUAUACAUGUUGGUUCCUAAGAUAAGAAUCCUCAUAUAUGAAAAGGAGCAUAUAUUGAUAAUGGUCAAAACGAGGCAAUAAAGUUUUUGAAUGAUCUCCAGAUGAGACAUUAAACAUGACUGAAAGAAAUUCAGGUAUCUGAGACAAUGAAGAGAUCUCAAUAAGUUAUGUCAUGUAUAGAAUAAAAUGAAACCAAUAAGUAAAUCGACGUCGAUGAUAUUUAUGCAUGCAAAGUAGCAGUUGAUAUGAUGAAUGAGAAAGAGGAUCAUGAAACAAAGUCUAUUGAAAAGUGUACAUAAAUAAAUGAUUGGUCAAAUCACAAAGAAGCAAUAGACAAAGAUACAAACUCUUGUGAAAAAGAGAGGUAUUUGGACCAGUAGUCCAUACACUUGAAAGUGUAAAACAAUUGGGAUAGAAAUGAGUUGUUGCUCAUAGAAAGAUCAAUAUAUCAAUAUGAAAUUGAUUGUGAAGAGACAUAGUCUCAUGUGGUAGAUGUAACUACUUUCAAGUUCCUUAUUAGUCUGGCAUUAAAGGAAGAACUUGAAUUAUACAACCCACUGGAAACUGAUAAUCCCUGAAAGAUAGAAUCCCUGAAAGAUAGAAUCCAUGAAGGAUUGAUGACAAUGAAAUCAUGUUCCCGUGAACUCUACCUUUUCGAUCAAAUUGAAAUAAAAUAUUUUAUGGGAUAUAUGGAAAUGCACCCAUUGGUAUUUAUCAAGAGAUUAUGAAUCAAUAGAAUCAUUGAUUUGAAUGUAAUCAAAACUCUUGAAGAGUUAUAACAAUUUCUUUCUGAAAGAUCUUGAAAAGACUACAUUGUUAUGUAUUCUAAACAGGACAUCUAGAAUAAGAGAUGUUAUCUAAAAGAUCCUUACGAGUGUUAUUUGAGAAAGUUACUAAUUUUUUUCAUUUUCAUAAUUGAAAGAUGUAAUUUCAUAUGACAAGAAAGAAAGUCAUUAUAGUAAUUUUUAUAGUUACAAAUGAAUAACUUGUAUGUACGAGGCGAAGGUCUAGAAGAAUGUAUGUAAGAAAUUUGGCUUGAAGUCCAAAUAGACCAAGAAAUUAUUGUCUAUAUCAAAUGAGAAUUGUGGACCAGAAGUCCAUAGAUCUUGAAUACUCUAAUCGAAAGAGUUUAUUAUGAUAUUCUCAAUUUCAAAGGAGAUUUAUUUGAUUGGAAUGCAUAUCCUGAAGAUAUUGCUUUCAGGGGAAAAAGUAUGAAAAUGUGUGUGGUUGUACUCUUUUUCCUUAUAAUGGUUUUCAUCCUAUUAGGUUUUUCUUUAACGAGUCAAUAAAGAACACACAAAUGAUAAACACCCAAAAGAAAUGUUAUCAUUUCAAAGAUGAAAGUCUACCAUCAUUCUGUAUCCUUUGAGAUCAUGCACUGCAGAACAAUGGCAAUAUCUGUGUCCUACAAUUUUGUUCAAGUGACAUUCCGCUGACUUAUUUACUAAGGCGCUAACCACUGCUACUUUCAAGAAGUUAGUUCAUCUAAUCGGACUACAUCAUCUCAAAGAUCUCGACGUAUGUACACAUGAGGGGAAGUCAUUAUACGCUGCACUCUUUUUCCCUUAAUCAUGGUUUUUUCCAUUGGGUUUUCAUGAUAAGGUUUUUAACGAGGCAGCUCUACGGCGUUUUGAAAGCACUUUGGUAUAAUAGACAUCAAAGAGAAGUGUUAUGAAUAUUGUGGUGAUGUCCAUAUGGAAAGUUCUAGAUAUAUUUGUUCUCCACUCCAAGUUAGACUUUGUUUCAAAACUAUUGUAAUCCUAUAUAAAGGGACCAUUACUCAAUGAAUAAAACACAUCAAUUCUUCUCUUCUCUUCUUCACUUAUAACAAUAAAAAGUUUAUUGCUAAUCUUUGAUUGUCUUUAACGGAUUGCAGUCCAGGAAACUAAAACUAAAAUUCAACCACUAAGGACCGGUACGUAUAUCCCUCUGUAUCAUUGAAAUUUUAAUUUGUCUGUCAGACACUUAGUUUUAUAUUUCCAGUUCUUAAUCCUCUUAAAUGUUGCACCCCGCAGGGACUGUAUCAGUGAUGUUGCUUCUACCUCAGACCCAAUAGAGUAUGAAGGUGUUCAAAAAUUUGAAACUUUAAUAGUGGUUGAGCUUAACUCUGACCCCAGAUGCAGCAUGAACCUCAUGUCACCCUCUAUUAUUGCUUCACCGAUGUUUACUUUAAUGGUUUCCCAUCUAUCAUAUCAACAGACUACAAAUGGGUGUUUGUGUAUUUUGAUGGUCAGAUGACAAAUUUCCUUUGCUGCUGAUAUUGUACAGCUUAUGGUAGUACUGAACAGUAACCAUUGCAAUGAAUGUGUUAAAAUCAUGACAAGCACAACCACUGAAAAGGUAAGUUUUUUUGUAUGGCAGAAACAAGGUGCAGAAGACCCAGAACGUAGGCCGCUUCCACAUUGCGUAAAGUACCUAGUGGGCAGCAUUUCAUUUUCCAGUUGAAGCUGUCUCCAUUCAACUUCUCAUCAAAGCAUCAAAACUUCAUCGUUUCACAUAUAUUUGACUACAAUCAGCGUCCACCACUCCCAAGCUUAUGCAGAGGGUGUAAGUACAACCAUUAACUAUAUCUGUAUUUUGGUUCUUAAGACUCAUAUGGGUGCUGCGUAAGAGAUGUUAACAACCUUGGAGACCACUGUAGAUGAUGGACCCGCUCUGAGAUUGGUAAUUGCGGAGUGAUUGAGGGAGCUAUAGCCGCAACUGGUGUCUUGCAUGAUGAACGUGUGCCAUGUGGAUACAUUGCUGAUGGUGCACCACUUGAGGAGAAUGGUCACACCGGAAAAAACCACACACUACUUAACGUCCAAGGUUUUACAAAGUGUCCAACUCCAAUGCCUGCUACUGCUUCUGCGUAGGAUUUCUUCUUUGCUUAAGUUUGAAUAAAUUGUUUAGCGUAUCGCUGGUUAUUUAAAAUUUAUUGUCGUUGCUUUUUUUUACUCA